ensembl:lncRNA
UAUUAUAUAUAUAUAUAAUAAUAUAAUAUACACACAUAUAUUAUGGUUAUAUAUAAUAACAUAUGUGUGUAUAUUAUAUAUAUAUAAUAAUAUAAUAUACACACAUAUGUUAUGGUUAUAUAUAAUAAUAUGUGGUAUAUUAUUUUAUAUUAGUCCAUUGUCGUGAUGAAGGACACUCGACCCAGCAGGUGCUGCACCAUCAGCUUGCUUCCUGUCACCUGACCUGUGUUCCUAUAGGACGCACUGGGUAAGGAAGCAUCCUUUCCUAACCACUUAUCCUUGACCUCUGUGGGAAACGUCACUGGGUCAAGGAGAGUGACCUUGGUGAUCAACCUUAAAAGGUUCUUCUUGAAUCAUCGUGUGGGAUCACCUCUCUGAAGAACCCUGAGAACCCUGAAGAGCCCGUUCACUCUACCUGAAGUGUUUCCCAGCAGACGGAGGGACUUGGACCUCUAAUCUCCAGACACGUCCACACACGAUGGAAACAUCAAGGAAACCCUGCAGGAGUCCAGAUUACAGGAAGCAUACCUGUCAUCAGCCCCGACACACACACACACACACACAUGCACACACACGCACACGCGCACACGCGCACACGCACACACACACACACACACGGUUCCAGAGGUUUGUUAUCUCUGGAGGCUCCUCUUGUGUCAGGAGGUGUGAGAGUCGGUGUUCCAGAGCGAGAGCGCCACUUCUCCUCCAGACGCUCAGUGUUCGCUUCACCUCAGGAGGCUUCAACACGCACACGUGCACAUGUGUGUGUAUAUAUAUAUAUGUGCAUAUAUGUGUAUAUAUAAUGUUUUACUGCCUCUUGCAGGAACGUGACCGGGUUCUUUUGGGCCCACUGACCACACACGUUCCACCGAUGGGGGUCGCACAGCGAGUGUGUGUGUGUGUGUGUGUGUGUGUGUGUGUGAGUGUUUUGUGGCAUUCUAGAGAGAGAGAGAGAGAGAGAGAGAGAGAGAGUGGGUGUGGGAAAGACCUGCUCGCCCAUCUCAGAGUCUCCACACACACACACAAGUACACACAACGACACACUCUGUCAGCUGAUAUCCAACUCCCCCAACUCUCCCAGGACUUUAUCUGCUUGUGUGUCUGUCCAGUCUAUGUGUAGACCUGAUCCUCCAUGAACCAGUCUAUGUGUAGACCUGAUCCUCCAUGAACCAGUCUAUGUGUAGACCUGAUCCUCCAUGAACCAGUCUAUGUGUAGACCUGAUCCUCCAUGAACCAGUCUAUGUGUAGACCUGAUCCUCCAUGAACCAGUCUAUGUGUAGACCUGAUCCUCCAUGAACCAGUCUAAUCAGGAACAUUUAUCACCAUAAUGUGUCAGACAUACGAGGAAGUUGACUUGGCGGUUGGUGCCUAACAUGACAACAUGACAACAUGUUAAGAGAGAAACCCCAAUGUAAGACAAGGUCAGAGGUCCCCUAGGUUACUACUUCCCAGUUGUUGAUGUUGUUGGAGGUGGUGCGUUCAGGUGCUCGUGGGACAGUGGGAAACAACCCCCACGCUUCUCCCCUGCGGUCCCGUGGCGUUCCCAGGGUGUUUGACCCGGCUCCGCCCCCCUCACUGCUUCCUGCCCUCUGCUGCAGCUACAGAGGCUCUUAUUGUGGCGGGGCCUACGCCUGUCACUACCCAUCACACACAAAUACCAGCACACGCACACACAGGCGUUUCAAAAAUGCACAUACAUGCAGACAGUUACUCUGUCGCAACGUUUAGUUUUCUUGUCUAAAGUUUAUCUAAUGUUCCUCAAAGUAUCGAGCCAGCAAGCUACAAACACAAAGCACCACUUACACUCUUUCACAGCGGUUUACUGUAAAUUUGCCUCUUUUUUAUGUAAAUAUUGGUUCAAAAAAAAAGAUGAUGACGGAGGGAAACCAAGCUGGCGAGUGUGUGUGUGUCAUUAUAUCUCUCCUGGUCAACAGUGACUGUGAGUGAUUCUCAGCGUUGUCACAGACUGUGUGUGUUCGGCCUCAGAGGGCUUUACAGUCUGUACACAUACGACAUCCUCUGUCCGAAACCUCCAUCAGCACACGAAAAACUCCCCAAACGUUUGGUUGGUUCAUCCAACACUUAACUGUGUAGGAGACUUUAUUUAUGCGUCUGUCUUUGUUUUAUAUGCACCUUUUAAUAAAGAAGCUCUUAUAAAACCAGGUUCUAUAUGUGAAUUAAAGAAAAACAUCAGACCAUAUAAUGUCCUCUGAUACUUUGCUGUUGCAGUAAAACUACCGAGCAUUUAUUUUAAAGCAAACUGGAGCAAUUUAAAUGACGUAGUAUUUAUUCUGUAAUUCUGUGAUAUUUUUAAUAUUUGAAUGAAUUCCUGACUGGGAUCUAAUAAGCAUGGCCAUUGUAGAGGCACACUUCACAUACCUGAAAAAAUGACUUUCUGUCUCUGCAGAGUGCAGGACUCCCUCCUCUGGGGGCCGCGGCCCCCAAAGGCCCCCAGAGACCACGUGGAACAUAAAGCUGCAUUGGUGGAAAUUAGAUGGACUGUUUACCUAUUUUAAGGUUUAGUCAUUCAUAAUAUUGCGAAUAUCAUCUAGAUUUUCCGCUCUCUUCACUGGUACCGGUGGCUCAUCCAGUUCUAAACAUGGUGCUCAGGUACCAGGCUGUGAAUGGAUCCAGCUUCCAUCCAGGACCUGGUCCAACCCGACAUCCCGACCUCUGACCUCUCCGCUCUGCAUGUGAUAAACUGCUUGUUCCUCCUCACUGAGAGCAAAACCCUCGACUAGAUCUCCACUCUUUGCUGUCCUGCUCCUAAAUGGAGGAAGGAGGUCUCUGAAGACAUCAGGACCACAGAGAGCCUUCACAUCUUCAGACUAAAGACACACCUCUUCAGACUCUACCUCCACUAACACACUAACUAACUGCAGCACUUACAUUGGACUUAUAAUGGUUCUUAUCUACAGCGAGUUGUAAACUGGCUUAUUUGAUGAAAUCGCACUUUCUUGUUUCUUGUUCUUCUGAGUUUGUGUCUUUAUGGUUAAAUGUUCUUAUUGUAAGUCGCUUUGGAUAAAAGCGUCAGAUAAACGACAUGUCAUUUUAAAUCAGUUUUCCACAGUUCUGGUCCAAAUGUCAGCUACAUAAAACACAGAAAACCGAAUUACAAACAUUAAUAUAAAUGUUAACGAGUGACUUUGUGUGUUUUAGUGUUAAAAUAAAUCCUUCCGUUAACAAACCCCCCUUUGGGGCUCAGUGAUUCAAAAUGACGUCAUAUUUUAAUUCCAUAUAAAUUAAGUCUAUAAAUACACAUUAUACUACUUUAAUACGUUCUGGUAUAUUGUUAUCACUAAGAAUCUGAAAUGUCUAUUAACGUUUUAAUGUAGUUUCGAUAAAGAUGGAAAAAAUAAAGAGCUUCGACCGGAAACGGAAAUAGGUGGUUGUUUUCUUCUUCUCUCCAGCAGGGACGCGACAUAAAAUGGAGCACAAGCUGAUCCUGGCGGUGUCCGGCUUCCCGAGUCUCUACGACACCAACUCCCCGACCUACCGGGACCUCAACAUGCGGGCCGACUCCUGGCGACACGUCUCGGACAUCGUCGGUGUCCCCGAGGCAGAAUGCCGGAGGAAGUGGAAGACGCUGCGGGACCAGCACCGCAGGGAGAGGCAGCGGGAGAAGGACCGGCGGGAGAGCGGCAUCGGCCUCUUCAACUACCGGCCCUGGAGAUAUUCGGCCAUCUUGUCCUUUCUGAACCCGUUCAUCGACGCCAGAGCCGCGGGCUGCAACGGGUGGGCUCUGGACCCUCAGCCCCCCCAGCUCCACCCCUCUGAGACGGGCUGCAGCACCACCACGGACACCCGGAGCGACGACGAAGACCACUACGGUCUGUUCUACUCAGAAGGACCCGACGUCUCCGUAGUCGACGCCACAACAACCACCACCUCCUCCUCCUCCUCCUCGGAGUUCCUCCACAGGAAGCGUCCGUCUUCUGCCAGCAGAGACGGCGCCAUCGGGUUCAAGGAGGCGAAGAUGGAGUCAACCUCGGGGAUCGCCUGCGUUACGACGACGCCGCACGACAACAUGAGGGAGCUCUUUGAGGUGAUGAUGCAGUCGGUCACGUCUCUCGCCGCCUCCUUGGCCUCUUCCUCGGAUCAGCCUCCUCGUCCCGACCUCCGUCACCUCCCGCCACACCGAGCCCCCCCCGUGCCGCCCUGCACCGCGUCUAGGCUCAACCACUUGAAAACAGAGGAGCAGGAGGCCGUAGCGGCAGAGCUUCUGGACGACCGAACCGACGCCGAGGAGGAGGAGGAGGAGGAGGAGGCGUCCACUAGGCCGACCCGAGCCAGGAGCUGGAGCAGCGACGGCCUGCUGCAGGAGUACGUGAGGAGGAUGGAGGCCAGGGAGGCCCAGAGAGACCGGGACCUGGACCAGAGAGACCAUGUGACCCUGUUCCUCCUGAGCCUGGCUCCGGCCAUGAGGAGACUUCCUGCUGAGAAGCAGUCGUGGGUCAGGACCAAGAUGCAGCAGCUGCUGCACGAGGCCGAGUUCGGCGCUUUGAGUUUUCAGUGAUCCUUACAUGUUUUACAUUUUUAUCAAUACUUGUGAACUAAAAAAUAUAUUCACCUUCGAAGGAGUUUUUCUCCAUUUCUAUGAUAAUCUAACAGGUUUGUGCAGUUUUUUAAAAUAAAAACCCCAUUGUCAGUCAUUCCUAUCUUAUAUAUGAAUUAUUAAUGGAAAGUCAAACCACUUAUCCUGCACACGGGGUCGCGGGGGGGCAGGAGUCUGUCCCAGCCAACUUCAGGCGAUAGACGGGUUCAUCCCGACUGGUCACCAGCCCGCAGGGCCACACAGAGACGCACAACCAUCCGCCCAAAUGACAUUAAUCUUUAUUUAUCGGGACCGUUUUAAUGAUCAUAAAUAUACUAAACAAAUACAUAUAUACAUGGAAGAGGGAGGAUGAAGAUGAUGAACAGGGGGAGGAAGAGGAGGAGCUGGAAGACGCCAGCCCGGAAUCAUCCACCAACAACAAGCCUCUGACCGCCGGAGUGGGAAUGAUGGAGGCGGAGGAGGGCGGCGCUGCUCACAGCAACAUGGCGGACAACAAAGCUCACGGUUCAGGGUGAACCGGCUCCUCCGUGCACGGCACCAUGGACCGGGUGCACCACUCCCACGAAGCCUACAGCAGCAACGACCCGCACGGCCCCUUCCCGGACUACCGAGCCGGCUACGGGAGCAGGGGAUACGGGGCCACGAUGAGUCCCGGAGGUAGUCUGACGGGUCCCGGCGGCUCUGCUAAAGCAGCUGUGCUAGCUAGCGGCGGCAACGACGGGGGGUUGCAGCGGUUUCCCGGUCGGCAGCAGCUCCCCUCCGGGGCCACACCGACUCUGAAUCAGCUGUUGACGUCCCCGAGUCCGGUGAUGCGAGGCUACAGAGCUGGAUACCCGGAUUACAACAACCCUCCUGCGCAGCUACAGGCUAGCACGGGGCUAGCUGAGGAGACGAGCUCGGCUGCGCACGGAUGGGAAGGACAACAGGGAAGUCUCCCGACCACGAGCACGGGGGACACCCGUCGUAAACUCGUCUGACUACCGGUAAUCAGAGAAAGUCAUCUUACUGCAGCUAACAUGCUAACUCAGCCAGUUAGCCGCUAUGCUAGCCGAGAUAAGUUAGCCGAUUGGCUAGGUGGGGUACUUUAUCCGUUUCCACUGCAGACAGUUAAGUUACUUAUUCACACACCCAGUCAUUCUUACGACCAUAGUGUAAAUAAGUAGACGGCCGUUCAUUCAACCGCAAAUAACUGCCGUGAAAGUCAAAGUCAUUGUUUCGAUUCCGUGUCCAAGGUGACACCGUUGUUAGCAUGCUAAGGUAAUGUAAGCUACUGUUGCACAGGUGUUCCGGUGUGGGGGCUUUUGUUGUGAAGGGGGAGAGGAAGUUGGUGUGGUGUUGAACUGGGGCUGUUGAAAGAAGGAAGGAGGAAUAAAUGUUCUGCGCCGGUUCGGCUUUUAUUAUCUACACAAAUUAUAGGGGCACCCGAACCCCUCGGCUACAGUAACAUUAACUUCAGCUUUUGGUAUUUGCUGCCGACGCGAUGGCAGAUGUGUGUGUGUGUGUGUGUGUGUAGUUGCGUUGCUCUAUUGUCUGAGUAAAUUGACCGUAAUUACCGUUUUUCUCGGAUGUCCGUCUUCUUUGAUGUGUGGCAUCCAGUAGUGAUCGCAAAGUGAAGCUUUCCAGCCAACUGUAUCGGAAAAAGGUUCAUUCAUUCAAUGCAUCGCAAACUCUAUGAUGACGUCUGCUGUUGAAAACUUGUAGUGCAAAUGUAUCGCCUACCAGUAUAUUUGGGCCCAAUCUCUGAUUAUGAAAAGUUGAACCAAUAAAUCAUCUAAUAAAUACAUGGAUUCCUAUAUGAAUAAAAAUAUUGUUUUUCGAGUUUGAAUUGUGUCCUUGUUUGUGUAUUUCAAUUCUCUGUACAUUG